UCCUCGGUAGCUCAGCGGUAGAGCAUCCGACUGUUAAUCGGACGGUCGUAGGUUCGAAUCCUACCCGGGGAGCCA
rnacentral:tRNA from 1 species